rnacentral:misc_RNA from 1 species
UCUCCGUAGGUGAACCUGCGGAGGGAUCCUUCCUGAGUGAGGGCUUCGGUCCGACCUCCAACCCUUUGUGAACCAAACUUGUUGCUUCGGGGGCGACCCUGCCGCUUCGGCGGUGCGGCGCCCCCGGAGGCCAUUAAACACUGCAUCAUUGCGUCGGAGUUAAAGUAAAUUAAACAAAACUUUCAACAACGGAUCGCUUGGUUCCAGCAACGAUGAAGAACGCAGC